GUGAGGAAUUUUGCGCAAUGGGCGAAAGCCUGACGCAGCAACGCCGCGUGAGUGAUGAAGCUCUUUGGAGUGUAAAGCUCUGUCAGUGGGGAAUAAAAGGGUGUUUAUGAAUAAUAAGCAUUCUUGACGGUACCCACAGAGGAAGCCCCGGCUAACUCCGUGCCAGCAGCCGCGGUAAUACGGAGGGGGCGAGCGUUGUUCGGAAUUACUGGGCGUAAAGGGCGCGUAGGCGGUUUGGCAAGUCUUCCGUUUAAUCCCUCGGCUUAACCGAGGUUCUGCGGUGGAUACUGCCUGACUUGAGUACGGGAGAGGAGAGUGGAAUUCCAUGUGUAGCGGUGAAAUGCGCAGAUAUAUGGAGGAACACCCGUGGCGAAGGCGGCUCUCUGGACCGAUACUGACGCUGAGGCGCGAAAGCGUGGGGAGCAAACGGGAUUAGAUACCCCAGUAGUCC
rnacentral:rRNA from 1 species